CAUUAUUGAAAUAAACCUGAUGGGUUGCUGCUGGCUCUCUAGGGAGCAUGUGCACACUUGUCAUCUUUAUAUCUCCACCUGUGCACCUUUUGUAGAUCUGGAUAUUUUUCUGAAUGCUUGCCAUUCAGGUUUGAGGAUUGACUUUUGUCUUUCCUUACAUUUCCAGGCCUAUGUUUUCUUCAUAUACACCAUUUAUGUUAUAGAAUGUAAUGAAAAGGGCCUUUGUGCCUACAAACCUUAUACAACUUUCAGCAACGGAUCUCUUGGCUCUCGCAUCGAUGAAGAACGCAGCGAAAUGCGAUAAGUAAUGUGAAUUGCAGAAUUCAGUGAAUCAUCGAAUCUUUGAACGCACCUUGCGCUCCUUGGUAUUCCGAGGAGCAUGCCUGUUUGAGUGUCAUUAAUAUAUCAACCUCCUCAGGUUUUGACUUGUCGAGUGUUUGGAUGUGGGGGUCUUUUGCUGGUCUCUUUUGAGGUCGGCUCCCCUAAAAUGCAUUAGCGGAACAAUUUGUUGACCCGUUCAUUGGUGUGAUAACUAUCUACGCUUUUGACGUGAAACAGGUUCAGCUUCUAACAGUCCAUUGACUUGGACAAAUUUUCAUUAAUGUG
rnacentral:rRNA from 1 species